GAUCCUGGCUCAGGAUGAACGCUAGCUACAGGCUUAACACAUGCAAGUCGAGGGGCAGCAUUGGAGUAGCAAUACUCAGAUGGCGACCGGCGCACGGGUGAGUAACACGUAUCCAACCUGCCGCUUACUCGGGGAUAGCCUUUCGAAAGAAAGAUUAAUACCCGAUGGUAUAAAGAGUUCGCAUGUUCUCUUUAUUAAAGAAUUUCGGUAAGCGAUGGGGAUGCGUUCCAUUAGAUAGUUGGCGGGGUAACGGCCCACCAAGUCUACGAUGGAUAGGGGUUCUGAGAGGAAGGUCCCCCACAUUGGAACUGAGACACGGUCCAAACUCCUACGGGAGGCAGCAGUGAGGAAUAUUGGUCAAUGGACGCGAGUCUGAACCAGCCAAGUGGCGUGAAGGAUGACUGCCCUAUGGGUUGUAAACUUCUUUUAUAAGGGAAUAAAGUGAGGGACGUGUCCCUUUCUGUAUGUACCUUAUGAAUAAGGAUCGGCUAACUCCGUGCCAGCCGCCGC
rnacentral:rRNA from 1 species